CUGUGUUUUCAUUUGCUGUCUUAUACUCCUGCCACCCUAGGUAUCUGUCUGUCCCCGAAUGAUGAGAGACCUGUGGAACAGACCUGAACCCAACACACUCCCUAGAGUGAAGUCUAUUCUGUCCACAGCCUCAAGAAAAGCUUUCAGCAGAAUCCAGCCUAGGUUACGCAAACAACAGUCAGCCUGUGGACUGAUGGGAAAGAUACUAACUGUCGCUGUAAAUCAGGCUACAAUGAACAACAAGAGCAGCCUCAAAGAAGAAAGAAGUCAAGAAAAUGUACCUGAGGAAUGUGGAAGAGACCUGUCUUGUAACCAUGUCAGUGACUGGGAGAGACAGUAGAAAGGAAAUUGAGGAGUUCCUAUGCCUGUUUUUGGGGUGUGUGUGUGUGUGUGUGUGUGUGUGCGUGUGUAUGAGUACCCAGAGGACAGAGUGAAUAGUAACUGCAGACUGGGAGGUGUAACAGUAAGUCAUAGUAGCAGAAGUGCAGCUCUUCUGAGAUGUAUUUAUGUAUUGCUCCUACUUGUACUUACAGACUAUGAAGUCCAGGGAAUGUUAUUUCACCCCAAAUUCCAAAUUUCCAAA
rnacentral:lncRNA from 1 species